rnacentral:rRNA from 1 species
UACGAAGGGGGCUAGCGUUGCUCGGAAUCACUGGGCGUAAAGCGCACGUAGGCGGCUUACUAAGUCAGGGGUGAAAUCCUGGAGCUCAACUCCAGAACUGCCUUUGAUACUGGUGAGCUUGAGUCCGGAAGAGGUGAGUGGAACUGCGAGUGUAGAGGUGAAAUUCGUAGAUAUUCGCAAGAACACCCGUGGCGAAGGCGGCUUCUGGGACGGUACUGACGCUGAGACGCGAAAGCGUGGGGAGCGAACAGG